rnacentral:lncRNA from 1 species
CUUUGGUAUGAAAUACCAUGAACUGUUAGUGAUGAUUUACGUUUGUUGUUCAGAAUUCAGUUGUUUACUCACUAAGUUUAUGACGUCUCCUCCAGCGAACUGAUCCGAUGAUGAGCUCGUGGAGUUAUCAAUAAACUAGCUGGAGUAUUCUCCUUUUUUUCUGCUUGACAUAUGGCUUGUCGGACAGGUUUCAUGUCUGUAGCUCCAUUAAUAAUGUAGUCCACACAGCAGCCGUCUGGAGCACGCUGAAGCGUAGUUUGGUUGCUUAGCAACCGUGGAAACCUCCUCCAGAAAAGAUCAUUGUAGAACAGAAAGAGUUUAUAGUUUGUACAUUUUUAUUUUUAUAAGGGAAGCUAUUGUUUUUAAUGCAUAAAGCUGUACAUAAUAUUUAAAAAGAAGGAUUAUAAAACAUACAAGCCUCAGACUGACACAAUCACAAAACUACGUCAUCUUUUCUUUAUUUAAAUCGAUUGGUCCAAUGACUGUUAUUCGGGGCGUGGCUAUCUUUGAAUGCUGCUUUCUGAUUGGCUACGUACUGAAAACACACUACACUAGUUAACUACAGUGAAGUUUAGACCCAGCCAGCGAAGUUAUUUGAAGUUUUACUACAGUUAAAGUGAGAAGAAAAGCCGCCGUUGUUCGAACUGGAUCGCCUAACGCUUCCCAGAUUUCCUGUUCCUGUGUGGAAUAAUUACCGAGGGCUGCUAACAGGAGAGGUAGUGACGCAAAACACAAAAUAUAUAAAAGCAGCUGUGUGGACUGGCGCUCGGGACUGCAUCUUAGCCCGCAUGGACUUACCUGGCCCUUGCUGUAACAAAUUUAGCCACAUUUAAAGGAUUUU